rnacentral:lncRNA from 1 species
GGGCAUACGACCAAGUCCAAAAUCACCUUCCGGACCUAAGAAACCAUCAAAACUUCGUUGGGGGUCAAAUAUACAAAAGUUAAACUUGGUCAACUAUUCAACUUAAAGUUUCCUAGUUGAGAAUCAUUCUUCCAAAUCAAUCCCGAAUCACCUAAAAACCAAAAUCGAUAAUUCACACAAGUCAUAAUACAUCAUAUGAAGCUACUUAAGACUUCAAGCAGCUAAACGAAAUGCAAAUGCUCAAAACUACCAGUUGGGUCGUUAUAUGCACACUUAGGUUCUAACCUUAGAAGACUUAGGCUUGACUUGAACUUAAGGAUGUUUUCUUGUAUUCUAAUUUAAUUAUGCUCAACCUGCAAGUAUGUGUUUACUUGAUUUAUCCUGCUUUUUUAUACUAUAUAACAUGUUGGUACCUACUUAACUGUUUAAUCUUAAUAUUAUUACUGCUUCACCAUAAUGAUCUGUUACUACUUUAUACCUUGUCAUUACAUUUUUUCUAUCGAGUCUUGGCCAUACAUAAUCACACACAAUAGAUGUAAGGUUUGUCUUUUCACUCCUUCAAACCUUAUUUAAAAAAUCUAUAGUUUCAGAGAACGACUUUGUUAGGCUAACUGACAUAAUGUAUCGGAGUCAUUUAGUCCAAUUCCAAAAUUGGGAAACACUAUACUUUUAUCAAACAUAGGUCAUGUUACAUAAACCUUAGGUCGGUCAGUCCUUAAUAUUGACUCACAAUUAGGAAAGUCACAUUAAUGUCAACAGGACAUACACCCAAUGACAUGCUUUCUACGGAACAACGAAUCAAUCCAGAUAAGACACUAAAGAUCCAGAGAAAAACACUCACCAAACCUUUCACCCAUUUUUAGAUGGAAAUCAACCGUGACUUCCCGGAGAUUAACAUGGUUAUGGGAGCGCCUCAUAAAUUGAAGCAGUGGUGGAAAAACAUUCGGCGGGAUCACGAGGAUGAGAUCAGGACACACCUAGAAGCACUAACUGCCCUGAUAAACAUCCGAGUUGAUAAAGUACUCACCAGGUUAUUGAUAGAGUUUUGGGACCCAUCCAAGGUGGUCUUCAAAUUUGUUGAUUGUGAGCUAAAUCGAUACUGGAGGAUAUUACCAGUUUCACAAAGUUACCAUUUACUGGGCAGAAGCCAAUACUUCCAGACAUCAUGCCGGACAACAGGUUCCUCCAUGCACUAGGACUAAUGAGAAACAUGAACUUAUGAAGCAUCAAGGAUGGAUGGGUAGCCUGGACCAUCUAUUUGACAGAUCCAGACACCAGGAGAGCUGUGAGUGACAUCUUGAGGAAUUCUAGUAUCAUCAAGUGGAAUAUGAGAGCCUUCUCCCCCUAACCUUUGGGCGGAUCAAUAUCAACCUACUGCCUUUAGUUUUGGCUACUUUCCGAGGAAACCUACAGGUCACUCUUAUUCCUAUGAUAUUUGCAGAGACAUUUCGAGCACUAUCAAUGUUUUUCAGAGGAUAUGAUUUCCUCAGAUGCUGCAAGUUGCUACUGCAGAUAUGGGCUACAAAGCAUUUCUUCCCGAGGGAGCCGACCAUUGACUACUUUGGGCUACACCACAUGGCCAGAAGGAAUGGCGGGAACUUUUGACCUAUCCGAGUGGAGAAUCCAUUAACUAGAAUCUUUCUUGAUUGAGUGGUAGAGCAAUUAUAAGAAGCCCGGGGAUGUACUUUGACAAAUUGGUAGGUCUGGAGGGGAUUCACAUGUACACACCACUGAGCAUGCUGAGGUAGUUUGGUUUGAUUCAAGUCGUGCCUCUCUAGUCAAGGACAUCUUUAUACGAGGAUAUUACAAUAGGUUUAUUACAAUCCCGAGAGUAAGAAGGCUCCUCGACAAGUGGAACGAUCUAAUCACAAUGGGAACGGGGCGAUACCCCUAGUGCACGCCUGAGUACUUUGUUAUCUUUUUUAAUUUAACUGUACUUUUAUCUCUUUCUCCUAUUCCUCUUUGGAAUAGUCUGUUUACUAUAAAUAGAUAUCUCUCUUUUUGAUGUCUAGUAAUUUAUCAUGAAUUAUGUACUUUGAUAUAUUUAAAUUAUGUAAAAAAAAAAAGUAAUAUAGAUAUCCAAUAUUAUUUCUUUA